rnacentral:rRNA from 1 species
GUGAGGAAUUUUCCGCAAUGGGCGAAAGCCUGACGGAGCAAUGCCGCGUGAAGGAUGAAGGCCUAUGGGUUGUAAACUUCUUUUCUCAGAAAAGAAUUAUGACGGUAUCUGAGGAAUAAGCAUCGGCUAACUCUGUGCCAGCAGCCGCGGUAAGACAGAGGAUGCAAGCGUUAUCCGGAAUGAUUGGGCGUAAAGCGUCUGUAGGUUGUUUAAAAAGUAUUCUGUCAAAGAUUAGGGCUUAACCCUAGAUAGGCAGAAUAAACUUUUAAGCUAGAGUUUGGUAGAGGCAGAGGGAAUUCCCGGUGGAGCGGUGAAAUGCGUAGAUAUCGGGAGGAACACCAAAGGCGAAGGCACGCUGCUGGGCCAAUACUAACACUGAGAGACGAAAGCGAGGGGAGCAAAUGGGAUUAGAUACCCCGGUAGUCC